GAUGAACGCUGGCGGCGUGCCUAAUACAUGCAAGUCGAGCGAACAGACGAGGAGCUUGCUCCUCUGACGUUAGCGGCGGACGGGUGAGUAACACGUGGAUAACCUACCUAUAAGACUGGGAUAACUUCGGGAAACCGGAGCUAAUACCGGAUAAUAUAUUGAACCGCAUGGUUCAAUAGUGAAAGACGGUUUUGCUGUCACUUAUAGAUGGAUCCGCGCCGCAUUAGCUAGUUGGUAAGGUAACGGCUUACCAAGGCAACGAUGCGUAGCCGACCUGAGAGGAGGAGCGGCCACAGUAGAAAUGAGACACGGUGCAGAGGAAGCCGGGAGGCAGAAGGAGGGAAGAGGAAGAAAUGGGCGCAAGCCUGAUAGAUCAACGAAGCGGGAGGAAUGAAUGGAUUCGUAGAGGACAACUUUGUGACGAGAGAAGAAAAAAGGGCAAAGUAAAUAGGCGCGGCUGGACCGUACCUAAUAAGAAGAACACCGCUAGUUACAUG
rnacentral:rRNA from 1 species